CCUUCAUUCGGUAUUGGUUUUUUCUUCUGAUAAUUUUUUUCUCAAAUCAUGUAAGUUUUCUUUCAAUUGCUUUGGUCAGGCUUACACCCAUACAUGAGCACCUGUCUAAUCACUGUUUUAUAUAUUCUGAUCUUUGAUGCUCGUGUUAGGCUCUUAGAUUUGGCUCUUGUGGAGGCUAUACAUACAUCUGUUUGCUGCCUAAAUUCUUCCUUUAAUCUCUUCCGUGAUAUCGUUAUCUGUAUGAUAUACUAUUGCGUCUCUUUAUUAUAUUGAACAGUUGUGUUGUUUGGCUCAGCUGUCCGAGGUCCUCCUUUAUUUUAACUCUAUCGACCCAGCCCAUUUUUAGUAGUCGUCGGUAUACCCACAUCACAAAGGCUUCCAAGCGUUUAAGCCUAGCCUCACUUAAGAGUCCACGUUUCCACUCCAUAAAGUAGGGCUGAAAAGAUAUAGCAAUAUGUCAUUCGAACACGAAGCUCAAUACUAACAACGUAGCUGCAAAGUAUGGUCUGUGCUCCUGUAUGGCAUGGAAGGAUGGACUUUAAAAAUAAACACAAUGAAUAAGCUAGAGGCAUUUGAGAUGUGGAUUUAUCGACGAAUCCUUAAAGUUCCCUGGACUGCACGAAUAACAAAUGAAGAAAUCCUGAGAAGAAUUGGUACAGAACGACAACUGCUAUGCACAAUUAAACAGAGAAAAACGGCAUACCUGGGGCACCUAAUUAGAAACGAAAGAUACCAAUUUCUGCAAAUCUUAAUUAAAGGAAAGAUCGAAGGAAGAAGAGGAGUGGGCAGGAAGAAAAUGUCAUGGCUCCGUAAUGUCAAACAAUGGACAGGACUAUGAAACAUAGGAGACCUAAUACAUACUGCAAGGGAUAGAGAAAAAUAGUCAAACGUGAUAGCGAACAUCCAUUAGUGGAUUGCGUAAGAAGAAGACGAAGGCUGCAAAGUUCGUUUCCCAUUUUUACAGUUUGUUUUAUUCGGCUUCUAAUUUCUGCGGUUGGAUCCCAGCUCUCAUUGAUAUUAUUGCCGAGAUACACGAGUUUCUUUACUCUGUCGAGUGUGGCAUCUUCGACUUUUAUACCGUCAUCCUGUAUAUUUAUACAUAAUUUUGUUUGCUAACUAUCAUAUAUUUAGUUUUCUUAACGUGGAGUUUUAAUCCAUACUGAUCACAGAUGUUUUUAUUUUGUUCAUUAAACUUUGAUGGACCCCGCAAUUAGCCAGCACUAAGGUAUCGUCGGCAUAUCUAAUAUUUUUUACGGUUACUCGAUUCACAAUAAUACCUUUUAUUGUCUCCAUUAAGGCUUCCUUAAUAUUUCCUCAAAAUACAAGUUAAAGAGUAAAUGCGAAACAGCCUUGUUUCACUCCGUUUUUUAUAUGUAUUUCAUCCGACAGUUCUUGUUCAACUUUUAUUCUUGCCACUUGAUGCCAGUACAUAUAUAUUAUUUGUAAUUAUUCAUAUAUUGUUCAAUCCAGCUGUUUUCAAUAUUUCUAUCAUUUUAUUAUGUCGGACCUUGUCAAAAGCCUUUUCAAAAUCGAUUGCACAGUUUACAUGCAAAUUUUUGGUGGCAUUUGUUAAGUAAAUCGUGGCAAAUAACAAAAAACACUUAGUAGUAACUAACAUCACUAAUUCGUUCGUGUAAUUCGCUGAAUACACCGAUCUUCCGUCGCAGGGGAUUAAUAAUUACUUGGUACAAUAUAACUUAAAAUAAAUAGGCUUCUUGUAAUUGUGCCAAUAAAAUUUUUAAGCCUUUUGGGGAAAGGUUAUUCAUUUGGGGACUUUAUAUUUGACCUGUAAGUAUCAAAUAUAAGACUGAACUGCACUGAUUGUAGCUAAUGUCUUUGUAAAGAAACCAAACGAGUGCAUGAAAGGUAAUGAAACUUGUUUUGUAUAUUGUCGAAUACUGUAUAAUAUGUUGAAUUCUUUAUUUAUUAGUAUUUAUUUAUGUUAUGUAAGGUAGUGAUUUAUCAUGAACAAAGACUUCCGUGGUAUUUUCUUUGUUUACGCCGUGUUUAUUUCAAAUAAGGCAGUGACUUAACGACUUAACCCAUUCGCUGCCUAUCUAAGAGAAUGGAACUCGGCUAGGAGCCAUUCUGUUAAACGGCACCUGAUUGAAAUAACCAUAUCACUCGCUGGCGCGUGAACGGCACCUGACUGAAGUAACCAUAUCACGCGCUGGCGCGUGAUCGGAAGCGAAUGGGUUGAAUUCCGAUAGAUUCAAUCAAAAAAGACAAAAGAGUAAUACUAUCAAUGUUUGAACUUGUUGUAAUGCGAAGUUAUUAAUUUUCCUGCAGAUUUCUAAGCCAAAAAUAAUUUUAGAGAUAGCUUAUCGAAGGUUUUCCAGUGCAUACUGGAUACCCGAAGAAUACCCUUUGAUAAAAUUUAUAGAAGUUUCUUUCCAAAAA
rnacentral:lncRNA from 1 species